rnacentral:rRNA from 1 species
AGAUUGAACGCUGGCGGCAUGCCUUACGCAUGCAAGUCGAACGGCAGCACGGGAGCAAUCCUGGUGGCGAGUGGCGAACGGGUGAGUAAUACAUCGGAACGUGCCCAAUCGUGGGGGAUAACGCAGCGAAAGCUGUGCUAAUACCGCAUAAGAUCUACGGAUGAAAGCAGGGGAUCGCAAGACCUUGCGCGAAUGGAGCGGCCGAUGGACAGAUUAGGUAGUUGGUGAAGGUAAAGGCUACACCAAG